CACACGUUGUGCUAUGGACAGAGAGAAUGGGCUCUUACGUAAGGCCAUUUGACUUCUGCUUUGUCAACAAAUGGCAGAGAGAGGAGAAGCUGAGCAGCGCCGCGCUUGGAUCUCUCUGAAACAGCUCCAAAGAAGGCUCGAACGUGGCGCUCAAGAGCAGGAGCCUUUAUCCUCCUAAUUGAGAAGAGACCCCCACCGACCCUCCCGGCUGUCUCUCCAUAAACAGCUUCUACCCUCAGCAGCAGCCUGGGAUUCUAUGCAUUCCUGAGGCAAAGCUAUUUGAAGUUCAUUUCAAACAACUAGGCUUAAAAGGAAUUGAAUGUAACAUCCAGAGACCGGGAGCAGGAAGCCACCUGCAAAUCAGAUAUCAGCACACAGAUGUAAUCCUACCCUCCGGCCUUUCCCACAUUACAAGUUACUUGAUGUGAGGGAGGACGUCAUUAAUCCGUUACUCUCUGCUUCGCAUAGUGUACUGGUCGUCGCCAUCAUGGAUAAUAGCACAUUGUGGCAAACACCAGAUACAGCACCGGGACUUGCUCAACAGCCGAUACCGCACCGUGUUGCCCUGUCCUUAUUGGUCCUCCCUGGACACCUGCGGCUCGUUGGUUCAUUACUGGAGGAGUACUUGAGCAGUGGGCUGUCACUACCUCGAGGCCAGAGUGUUUGCCAGUUUUGGGAAGUCUUCCUGUGUAACUGGAUUCCUGUACCUUCUCCCCUUGGAAGGACUUACUGAGUACACACUGAGCACGGGAAAACCUCCACAUGAUCCGUUCAAGUUACCAUCGGAAAUCCAAGUGACAAUCCGCUCCAUUACUCCUCGGGUCCAACGUAUGUCUACCUGUCCGCUCUCCAACAAGUUCCCUCUUCUCUGGA